rnacentral:rRNA from 1 species
GACGAACGCUGGCGGCGCGCCUAACACAUGCAAGUCGAACGAGCGAGAGAGAGCUUGCUUUCUCGAGCGAGUGGCGAACGGGUGAGUAACGCGUGAGGAACCUGCCUCAAAGAGGGGGACAACAGUUGGAAACGACUGCUAAUACCGCAUAAGCCCACAGGUCGGCAUCGACCAGAGGGAAAAGGAGCAAUCCGCUUUGAGAUGGCCUCGCGUCCGAUUAGCUAGUUGGUGAGGUAAUGGCCCACCAAGGCAACGAUCGGUAGCCGGACUGAGAGGUUGAACGGCCACAUUGGGACUGAGACACGGCCCAGACUCCUACGGGAGGCAGCAGUGGGGAAUAUUGCACAAUGGGGGAAACCCUGAUGCAGCGACGCCGCGUGGAGGAAGAAGGUCUUCGGACUGUAAACUCCUGUUGUUGAGGAAGAUAAUGACGGU